AUGGAUCCCAAAAGGAUUCUAGAAACAAAACCGAAAGGACUGGCCGUAUUUGAUAGAGUUUUUCAGUGGCCGUGAAUUCUUUUAGUGAGAUAUUUAGUUUUAAUUUUCAUAACGAAUUGAAUCAAUACAUACACCUAGGAUUAUUUUUAUUUAGGUUUUGCCAGUCUGUCAGUCUCAUCGUCUCAAAUCAUCAUCGGAGAACUAGGCAUUCCGGAAAGUUGGAUCUUAUGAACCAAAAGGAUAAGGGCUGGAUUACGGUUCUGCUAUCACCUUCUACUGCGCUGCAUGCCGAUGCCCAAGCCCAAGCACACGAGGUUACCAUGGAGUAUACCACGGCGGAUUAUGUGAUCAAUUAUGAUCUUCCCUAUCUUAAGUUAUUGCUAGAAGAAUUCGAGGACGCCAAACAAAUUUCCUAUUAGUCUAAGUAUCAAGGACAUUAGAUUUCGACCCGAGGUUAUAGAGCUUAAUGAGAAAUUUAACCUCCGGGAAACAAUUGACGAAGGUGAUCGAGGUUCGUCUAGAGGAGCAUCAACAGAGCUAUGUGCUGAUAAGAAGCCAACUGGAAAACUGUCCUUUCUGCAGCAUGAAAGGAUUCAGAAUGGAAUCUAAAAUUGAUUCCACAAUAGGGGGAAAGACGGCUUUGGCAGGUUUUAUUCUAUUAUUGUCAGGGGGGUUUUUGUCGACCAAAUUUUACGAAAU